rnacentral:rRNA from 1 species
AACGCGAAGAACCUUACCUGGUCUUGACAUCCUGUGAACUUUCUAGAGAUAGAUUGGUGCCUUCGGGAACACAGUGACAGGUGCGGCAUGGCUGUCGUCAGCUCGUGUCGUGAGAUGUUGGGUUAAGUCCCGUAACGAGCGCAACCCUUGUCCUUAUUUGCCAGCACGUAAUGGUGGGAACUCUAAGGAGACUGCCGGUGACAAACCGGAGGAAGGUGGGGACGGCGUCAAGUCAUCAUGGCCCUUAUGACCAGGGCUACACACGUGCUACAAUGGGACGUACAGAGGGUUGCUAAGCCGCGAGGUGGAGCCAAUCCCAGAAAACGUUUCGUAGUCCGGAUCGAAGUCUGCAACUCGACUUCGUGAAGUCGGAAUCGCUAGUAAUCGCGAAUCAGCAUGUCGCGGUGAAUACGUUCCCGGGUCUUGUACACACCGAAU